rnacentral:rRNA from 1 species
UACGUAGGGGGCUAGCGUUGUCCGGAAUCAUUGGGCGUAAAGCGCGUGUAGGCGGUCCGGUAAGUCCGCUGUGAAAGUCGGGGGCUCAACCCUCGGAUGCCGGUGGAUACUGUCGGGCUUGAGUACGGAAGAGGCGAGUGGAAUUCCUGGUGUAGCGGUGAAAUGCGCAGAUAUCAGGAGGAACACCGAUGGCGAAGGCAGGUCGCUGGGCCGUAACUGACGCUGAGGAGCGAAAGCAUGGGGAGCGAACAGG